GCCAGCAGUCAUGUCACCCUGCAGCUCACCCAUUGAAGGUACCCAGGUGUGAGCUUGGUCAGUACCUGGAUGGGAGACCACCUGGGAAAAACUGAGGCGGCUGCUGGAA
rnacentral:rRNA from 1 species